CGCCGUCUCUCCCAUCGCGCAAACAACCCUAGGGUUCCUUGAGCCGCCGCCGCACCGGAGCUCCUCGACCAGCCCCACCUCAUGCCGCUCCACCCACUGCUUCUCCCUCUGCCCGCGCCGCUCUCUUCCCUGCCGGCGCUGCCCACCAUGAGCGGGGAGGCCCCAGAUCGUCUCGAGCAAGUCAGCGGGGCGGUGGCCAGAUCCACCACGGCAACAUCUCGUCCAAAUGGGCCGCGCCGGGAGAGGUAGAUCGAGGCGGCGGGCACCGUGUGCGUCUUGUCUCCUGGGACGCCGCUCCGACUCGAUCCGGCGAGGAGGCAGCCUCCGUCUGCGGCAACGAGGGCGGCGGCCGGCUGCGCGAGAGGCCGAUCUGAUUGUGCCUCCAUGACGGCAUCGUGAUGCCCACCAUCGACGGCGCUGCGUCGCGACCAAAGGGGCACCCGGCCACGGCCGGGGACUCACUGCAGUUGAAGCACUCCAUCUCGCCACCAUGUAUGUUGUGUUCUUGUGCUGCAGGUCCUUGGGGUUGGGUGUUCUUGUCGCCACCAUGUUCAUGCAGGCACGAAUUGGACUGAGAAAUGCUAACAGAGGAGGAGAAGACCAUGCAAGUCCUUGGGGUUGGGUGUGGCAACUCGCGGCUCGAAGACAAUCUUUUGUGGUGGGGCGUCGCCGCCGCCGGCGGCACCUGCAUAGACCGUCUCGCUGGGAACGAAGAGAUGCUCCCCUGAUUUGGAGCUGUAGAAAGGAGGUGGUUGCAGACACAAAGUGCGCGGCGCCGACGAUGAAAACCUUUCUAUCGACGCAAGGGCAGAAGGAGCUCAUGACGUUGUUGAUGCCACCACCAUGCACGGGGUUGAUGCAAGGUGGGACAAUGCGAUCACUAAUGGGGAGAACAUAAAACUUCAAUUGAGGGCACUGUGAUUCUCUAGCUACAUGUAUCAUAGCUUCUGCAGGAGGGCGUCACCUGCGGCAUCACUUGCAUCGACCUCUCACCGAUCACCGUCCCAAGGAUGCAUGACAGACUGGCGGAGCAGGGCACCAGUGAUUGUUUCACCAAUUUGAUUGACUCAUUGUUCCCUUCCUCUGUCCACGCAACGUUGCCCAUUGUUGCUAAGUUGUUAAUUCAUCAGGCCCAUUAUUGCGGCUACAUAGUCUGUUCAUCUUGCCUGCCUUCUUAGGAGAAACCAAUUUACUGAAAUUAAUUAUUCUUUAUUUACAUUUUAUUUGUUUCUUCCUGCUACUUGUAUAAUUUGCGUCGAAAAUAUUCUGACUACUUGCAUGAAUUUAGACCCUACUUGCACAGUUGCUUGCAUUUUGUGUUGAGAAACAUCUGCUACUUAAAUGUACAUAAUACUUGCAAGUUUUAUUUGUUGACUGUGCCAUGAUAGCUUUAGGCCUUUAGUUGUACAAAACUGCCAAAGUAGGUGACAACCACCUGCAGCUCAAUCCUUGUUUAACUCGACAGACAAGCUAAAGUAAAUGCGGAGCCAAGAUAAAUUGUUGUAAGCCUUUUAUUGACUAGGAACGAGGGGUUGUAGGAAGGAACACUGCACUAUGAGUAUGCCCUUUGUUAGCUCUUUGCCCUUUUCUGUAACACUAGCCUAUAGAAGGAUGAAUGUUGUCAAGCUCCGGGCAACAAGUAGGAUUAUCUCAGUAGUACAGUCAGCACCACUAUCUGAGAUUGCACAUUUACGACCAUGGUGGCACACAGAAAAGGAAGCUUGGUCUGAAACAAAUUGCCAAAUGCUAGGAUCAACAUUUCUUUUCUAGAGCAUCUCCUUUUCGGGAAAGUUGUUGUCGAGAACUCAGUUGCGUGUUCCUUUAUUUUCAAGAAACUCUAUAUAGACCUUGAUAGCUUGAAUAUAAUGUUUUAGUAUGGUGUAUUUGUAAGGUACAAUCCAUUCAUAAUUAUUGGUAGUAACAUGUGUGUACGUGUAUAUUUAAACAUACUGUCGCUAGAUCAAAAUUUGGACAUACAUAGAUAGCUCCAGAUGCAGCCUAAAUGUUUUUUUACUCCCCAUAUAAUCACUGUUGUGAAUCCUUGUGCGGUUGUGCCUAGAUAUAUCUAAAUGCAUCUGCUGCUAUGUCUCUCAAUACUCAAUAGCACGGUUUCAUGGCGAAUCAGUGCCACUGUUAUGUGUGUUGAUGUUUGAACUGAACCAGCGAUUUGUUAGAACUUAUAUUGUUUAUUGUAUAGGAUGUCAGCUUUCCAAAUCAUAAGAAUAUUUGCUUUGCUUUGUUUUUUAUAUUUGCAGGUUGGCAAUUCCGAAGUUAUUGCCUUUCUACUUCAAACUGAAAUAAUUCCUCUUUGUCUUUAAUAUGGAGAUGGGCACUGAACUUUAAAAAACAGUAUGAACUCAACCCCUUCUGUAAAUCAAAUAUUUCAUUUGCGGGGACGACGUGGGGCUCAUGUCGAGCACUUCACCUGCAAUGGGUGUGGCCUUCUCCGUCUGCCAAACAUGCUACAAGUACGAGCACCAUGAGGGAACUGCCUGGAGUGCAAGACCCGCCACAAGAUCCUCAGGGGUCAGUCAGCCUCCACCCACGGCCGAAGGCACUUGCAGAUGUGAAGAAUAUCCAUGUCCGAUUACAUCGCCAGAAAGCAAAAACCGAGCCCACACUAAUCAUCAAGGGAUUUUUGAAACGAGCAGAAGAUUAGUAACUUCUACGACAUCAAAGAUCUGACCUUUUAGAGUAUGCACCAUAUUGAUUUACUUAUUGAUUUAUUCACACUAUAUCAGAUUUGUCUUGAACGUGAUACUUUAUUGACUGUACUGGACACGGGAAGUUAACUGUUUUAAUUAUAUAGGAUUAGUCUGCACCAGUUGCUGCAUAAGUUCUCAUUGAUAGCAAUUUACAUACUUGGGCUACUAGGCCUUUGGUCAGUUUGCAACUGGUAUUUUAGACAUGUACGAGUAUUCUCAUGGUAUUUCUAUAUGUUUUAAUUUGUACCAGAUGGAAUUUGCGAAUUAGUCUUACAAAGAGAAGAGAAAAGGAAACAUUAUUCACGAGUUUGCAGGAAUACGGAAACUCAAGGUAGUCUGUUAGCAUAAGUAAAAAAUGUUUUUCAUUUUAUUUCUUGGUUCGACCAAAUUAUAUUUUAUCCGAACGUAUGGAUGAUAGACACAAUGGACGUACGUAGUUUCUGGUUAGCACUACUCGGAUAACAUUUGGUCUUAUGCAUUUUAGUUAAAUAUAUCCUUUGUGAUGAAUAAUGAUUUUUGAGCAUACUAUCUUCUUUUCAUGUGGGGAGAUCCCUGAUAGAAAAGAAAAUUGUGUUUCUGAUAUGUUAUGCCUAUUUCUAAGUGCUUCCAAUUUCCAACUACUAGGUAUGCAGCCUUAGAUGAACAACUACCUCUUUAUUUGCUUGAGGAUGAUUUGAUUGUGCAAUUAAGACUACAUAAUUCCACUUUUCAUUUAUAUUUAUUGGUGAGGGCGAGCUGGCGGCGGCAUGGCACACUGGUCCGCAUGACCGCGGGUUCGGCCAGGGUGCGAGCCGAUCUGGCAUGUGCGCUGGCGAAGUAAGGCGUAGAGGUGCUCCGGCCGGCUGGGUGCCUUGGUCUGUGCCGGAGGUGCGAGGUGGGCGUGGAUCUGGCACCUAGCAUGCAUGAGGGAGGACAUAUGGGCGUUGUGCGUUUCUUCGCGGCGGGAGGUGUGACUGUGCUGCUCUGCAGAUUGAUGACGUUGUUCUCCUGGUUUCGUGGAUCUGCAGCGGGGUAGCCGGUGGUUGCGGCGCCAGAGAAUGCUGGGGCAGCGGCCUCGGGCUGAUGGCUGCUAUGGCAGGGGCUGCUGCACCGGCUCGGGAUGGUGAUUUGGAGCGAUGCACUCAGAUCUGACCCUGGCAACCGUGUUGUUUCUAUGUCGCAUGAGUUGUUGCAGCUGGUCGUCGCAUGAGGGCUAUGCCGGCUGACGGCAGGGGGGGUGCCCUAGACAAUGUGCUUGGCUCUGAUGGCCUGGGUAUCGUUGCGUGACCAGAUUUGCAAGCAAGCUCACCGAUAGGAGAUCAGGGACUCGGGCGAAAGCUCCGUGACCUUUUUGAGGCAUAGUCGUAGACAUCUUCCUAUCCUUUCACGUGCUUGGAUUCUCCGGGUGAGAACCUAAACUCCAGUUUUCUGGAGUGGGUGGCGGCGGUGUUUAUGUCGUAACCAUCUUCGGAGGCGUUGCCUUGGAGGGCCAGCCUUUGGAUGUCGUGUGGGGCUCUUUCGUUUUCAAGGGCGGUGUAUGUCGGUGCUGCGGCUCCGGGAUCUUCUAUUAAGUGUCGAGGCUGCGGCCUCGGGCAGUACUGCGACGACAGCUCCAAGAGGUAGGGCUGCUUGUCGGCAUGGCUUAGGUGAGGACCUUGAAGUGCGGGAGCAGCAAGGUUGUCAGCUCCGUCAAUGCGCCCCAGUUGGGACUGUUGGACGACAUGUUGGGGCAGCGGCCCAGGAUGUGGUGCAGCGUUCGUGGUCUAUGUGCGGUUGGCCUGAGCAGCGUGAGCUGCGGGUAGCUGUAUCGUUCGGCGUAGUGCCAGCCAGGUUGUCGCUCAUCCAGGUUGCCGACCGGGAAGAGGUGUAGUGCCGGCCAAGACGAGAACAAGGGGAAGCUGCUUGGUUGUCUGUGUUCAUCAAAGGUGCUCUCUCUUUUCCAUCUUUCUUUUUAUUUACUUAAUCCUAGAUGGGUGACUACUAAUUUCCAUGUCUACUGGGAGGAAGAAGGUUGGCGGACGUAUCUUUGUGACUAUGUCAUUCACGUGCUUUGUUUCAACUCAUAAAGUGGAUCCUUUUUAAGCUCUUUCAAAUCAUAAGACAUAAUUUUCAGUUGAUUUUUUUCUUCUAAUUCCCAGUUUAUUGCUUCACAUAGACUAUUACAUAUUUAUGCUAGCAAUUCGAAGCUUUGUCCCAAGGGCAAGCAUACUGUUGAAAAAAUAAAUACAUGUAUGACAGAUCAGCCAACAACUUGUUGAUCUGUGAUUCUUUGAACUUGAUGCUUAUAACUGUCUAUAAGUCAGUAUUGUUCAGAGCCAAAGAUAAGUAACAAUCUAUUUGGUUAAGUUGAACACUUCCAGAUCAGGAGUAGUAGAAAUUCUUAAGGGCGUUGGGAUAUUGAACUGCAGAUAGCUUCGGCAGGUUUGUUAGGCUAAUAUAAAGUAGGGACCUUUGCUACAUAAUGAUACAAAUAUGAUACUGAAGGUUGUUUUGCAACUAGCAAGGUAUUUUGUUUACAAGCUG